AUUGAACGCUGGCGGCAGGCCUAACACAUGCAAGUCGAACGAGUGGCGGACGGGUGAGUUAUGUCUGGGAAACUGCCUGAUGGAGGGGGAAAACUACUGGAAACGGUUGCUAAUACCGCAUACCAUCGGAUGUGCCCAGACGGGAGUAGCUAGUAGGUGGGGUAAAGGCUCACCAAGGCGACGAUCCCUAGCUGGUCUGAGAGGAGGACCAGCCACACUGGGACUGAGACACGGUCCAGACUCCUACGGGAGGCAGCAGUGGGGAAUAUUGCACAAUGGGCGCAAGCCUGAUGCAGCCAUGCCGCGUGUAUGAAGAAGGCCUUCGGGUUGUAAAGUACUUUCGGCAGGGAGGCGUUACCCAAAGAAGAAGCACCGGCUAACUCCGUGCCAGCAGCCGCGGUAAUAC
rnacentral:rRNA from 1 species